AUGGCUCAGGAUGAACGCUGGCGGCGUGCUUAACACAUGCAAGUCGAACGGUGAAGCAGAGCUUGCUCUGUGGAUCAGUGGCGAACGGGUGAGUAACACGUGAGCAACCUGCCCUGGACUCUGGGAUAAGCGCUGGAAACGGCGUCUAAUACUGGAUAUGAGAUGCGAUCGCAUGGUCGUGUUUGGAAAGAUUUUUCGGUCUGGGAUGGGCUCGCGGCCUAUCAGCUUGUUGGUGAGGUAAUGGCUCACCAAGGCGUCGACGGGUAGCCGGCCUGAGAGGGUGACCGGCCACACUGGGACUGAGACACGGCCCAGACUCCUACGGGAGGCAGCAGUGGGGAAUAUUGCACAAUGGGCGAAAGCCUGAUGCAGCAACGCCGCGUGAGGGAUGACGGCCUUCGGGUUGUAAACCUCUUUUGGUAGGGAAGAAGCCUUCGGGUGACGGUACCUGCAGAAAAAGCGCCGGCUAACUACGUGCCAGCAGCCGCGGUAAUACGUAGGGCGCAAGCGUUAUCCGGAAUUAUUGGGCGUAAAGAGCUCGUAGGCGGUCUGUCGCGUCUGCUGUGAAAUCCCGAGGCUCAACCUCGGGCUUGCAGUGGGUACGGGCAGACUAGAGUGCGGUAGGGGAGAUUGGAAUUCCUGGUGUAGCGGUGGAAUGCGCAGAUAUCAGGAGGAACACCGAUGGCGAAGGCAGAUCUCUGGGCCGUUACUGACGCUGAGGAGCGAAAGGGUGGGGAGCAAACAGGCUUAGAUACCCUGGUAGUCCACCCCGUAAACGUU
rnacentral:rRNA from 1 species